UUCGAAAUUGUUUUUUUUUUUUUCAUAGCCACGUUUUGACAUUUCCGUUUAAUUACUAACACCCCAAUGGCCUUAGUCUUAUUCACAUGCAUGGAGAAUUAGAGCAUCUCCACUCCAGAAAUUAGUAAGAAUACUUAAAAUUAAAUGCAUGAUAUAAUUAUUAUUAAAAAAGAGAGAGAAAUGAGAGAGUUGUCGGAAAGAGAGAGAAAAGUGAAAGAGCUGUUGAG
rnacentral:lncRNA from 1 species